CUUCUGAUGGAUUUUGCCAAUUCUGACUUUCUUAUAAAAUUUAAUAUAAUAAAUUAAAAUUAUACAAGUAAUUCAUCUCCUAAAUUCUUUUUCAUGGUUUUUUCAACCCGAUUCUUCCUUAAAGUUGCUUCCAGAAACAAAUCGUCUAUGACAAAUCUUAAUUCUUUUGUCAUACCUAGUCUCUAGAAUUCUCUCAGGAAUCAAGUUCCAAAACAACUCCUCUUGUAUUGUAUCAAUUGAUAAAUUUAUUAACUUUCAGAAUCUCAAGGUAUAUUUAAAUCAUGCAGGUGAGAUCUGAAGCAAGGAAA
rnacentral:misc_RNA from 1 species